rnacentral:rRNA from 1 species
AUGGAUAUGCUGGUGGCCUUUGGCAUCGAUGACGCCCCCGGCAUAUGCAGGCGACUCAGGAGCGAGACUCUGAGCACUUCAAAGCCCUGCCUGAUCACCAUCGUCGUGAAAGGGCAUACCUCGGAACCACUGGAUCUCACUGCCAAGGUGAAUUCCGAAGAUACGGUGCUUGCCCUAAACCUCCUGAACAGAGUCCGUAGAGAUCAUAGAGUGAAGGGCCACUUUCAAGUUCUGCACCUAUGCUUGUUCACCACCAUCAGACAAUCUGAAACCAGAAUCAUCACCUUCGCUGGUAGCCUUCUGACAGAGCAAAAUGCAGACCUUGGUCAAAUCGCUAUUGCUUCAGCCAGUGAGCCAGGACAUCACCACCCCCACGCCCAUCAUUUGAUCAUCAAUGAAACACUGCAUCAUCAGCAUUACAGCCCUUCACGGAACAGGAUCGCCUUUGCUGUUCCGAGCCUCGUUGCAUGCGUCCCAUGGAAACCGACACCACGAACUGAAAGGAAUGGUUCCUUGAGAAGUUGGAACAAAAUCUGCAAGACUGCAACGGUUCACUACCGCCAGCGUCGAGCGGACCCGGAGGAACUCGGCGUUGAAUGGCGGCAGAGCUCACCCCAGCAGUGGAGCUUGAUCCCAGAUCCAUGGAAGCAAGCAAAUCUUCACGGAUGUAUGCCAUCCCUUUGCAGCAAUCUAAGCUCGGGUGGAACUUGGGGGAGCAGAUACAUCAUGUUAUACGUGACCUGA